CUCAGCCGCUGAUGAGUCACUGCUGCUCCAGAUUACGCGUCUCCCUGGUUGCUGGUGCCCCUCAAGCACAGGAACCAAGUCUUCAUGUCACCGUCCUUCUGAGAAACCACUGGCACCUGGAGAGCUGCAGGCUGGGUACCGAGGUGGGUCUGGGCAUCAGCAUCUCCCCAGGGAAGAGCCUUUCCCCCCCCCUUACACCAAACCUCCCCCAGCAAGCAGCUGCCACCACCAUCUGGGCACCACCAGGUUUAAGGAAAGGGGAAGGUGACCCUGCAGGGUACCAGUGGUCCACAAGGGGCUCAGUUGUGUUUGAUGGCUGUACUGGGGUGCUAGGUUGGCAGAAACAGGGAUGGGCUUCUUGCUUGGCCCUGGACAGAGAGCUUCAUUAGUGGGUGUAAGCAUGAAUUAAAGUUUUUUUGGGGGUAAGAGCUCUUUGCUGGCAGUGUCUGGUAAGGUCAAAGCUUGUGGACGUUGCUGGGGAGGCACAAGGCAGGGGGGGUGUCGUGAGCCCAGGGCGCGAUGGUGGGGACGUACCAGGAGGGUGGCUCUGACUCUGGAUGAAGGGCACGUGCUGGCACAGAGGCGAUGCACCAGCUGGGUAUUUUGGGUCCUGCUGUAUUUUAGCAGGUCACUCUAAGCCUGUCGCAGGCAGAGGGCCACUCCAGCGUGGGGACGCCACUGCCUGAGCCCUCGUGUGCUGCACCACUGGGGACGAAGGUGGUGUGAGCUGUGCUUUCCACACCCUGAUGCUUCACCUGGGGUAAGUAUCACUUUGGGAAGGAGGUAAGAGGUUGGGGCAAGAGUGCGUUUAGACUGGUACUAUGCUUUGAGAUGCUCAUGGUAAAGUAAUGCAAAGAUAAGGAGUAGAAACAAAAGCUUCUUCCCAGCCUUUGUGUAGAUACUCUUCCAGCAUCUGUCUCCCAGAACCCAGCUACCUUUGGGGAGGGCCUGGCCUCUCUCCUUCCUCAAAUUAUUCGUUUAUAAAUGCUGUCUUAAGGAUCACUUUACUAAAAGCAGCUUUUCCUUUUAGGGCUUUUUUUUUCUUUGGUUAUGUUUUAGUGCAGUGUGUAGUGAGGUGGGCUUGGAGGUCUGGCAGGAAUGGAAACAGAGGGAAAUUAAAAUUGGGCAAGAGAUGAGCAAGUACCUUGGUGUUUUGUUCCAGGAUUUGGGGGUUAGAAAUAAGAGGCAGCUUUGAAAGGCUGAGGGGGUCCUGGGCAUGUGUGGUGCUCUGCUGGGUGAAGGACCUAUGCUUCUUCCUGCUUGAUGUUAUGGGAGUUGGCAUCUCGCAGUAGGUAGUGUGGUUUGGGUAACAUCUUCAGGUUCCUUUUUGGGCUCUGAGCCAAGCCUGGGUCAUAUGAGCUGGAUGGCAGAGGACCCACCAGACCCCAGCAAUGGUUCACGUGCUAGAGCCAAGGACUCUUUAGAUGAGCGCUGUACAGGAACCAGGCUUGGUUUCUGGGAAUUUCAGGCUUGUUGCCAAGACUUCAUUCAGUCUUAAUGCUGUGCUGAUGUGGGACAGGGCCAAACUUGGUCUGGUUGGAGAAUGAAUUCAGAAAAAGGGCUUGCCCAACCAGUGAUGGAGGAUGAAGAGACACUGUACUUAAUCACCUGGCAAUUCUGUAGCAUCAACUUUAAGCACAAAUUUGCUUGAAACCACUGUCAGGAACUUCAUCCAAAAAAAAAAAUUCAUCAGGCAAUGAUGAAAAAUAGAUUUCUGGAAGAUUAUAUCUUGUAUACGGACAAUGUGAACAAGGGACAAUGGCCCAAAUGAUCGGGUCGUCGUUGCUGAUUGUGUGCCUAGGCUUGGGUUAGGUUAUCAUCAGGAGAAACCCAUGACGUGUAGCAGUCUUUCCUUUAAAAGAUUUUUAGCAACUGUGUUUAACCAUGGUAAUGGAAAGGCAACACCCUGGUACCAUGCGUGAGAUCAAGGACCAGCAUUGGUAUAUAAUGGCACCGGAAGGUUGGAUAUUAUCUCCAAGGGUGUCCUUCAGACUUGAUGAUGGAGUUGUGUCAACUGGGCCCUCUCAUCCCAGUUACAGGAAUUGUAAAAGGGAUGACAGACAUGAGCAGGGAGCAAGGCAUAUACAUCAGUAAAUCUAUUUAGAGAAUAAUCAGCCUUUUUGAGGAUCUUCUUUUGAACCUCCUGGAAAAGCUUGGCCUGUUUUGAUUUUCUGUUUGACUCAUACUUUUGAAAAAAGAGGUUUCUUGCCUUCUACUUGUUUGUGAGUGAUGAGCUCCCAUGUUUCCACUGACAUCUCUUCCUUUCACCUGGGUAGAUAAGCAAAGAGCACCAUCUGAGGUAGGCGAUGAAUGCCAUCCACUGCCAAUCUCUGCUCCUAGUUAUCACCGCUGCGCUAUAGUGCUUUUGUGAGGACACUUCUUGCCUAUAAACUCUUGGUGAUGUUGGGAAAAAUAUUACUAUGCUGGUCUACUAGGAGGCUUCUUAGGUUUUAAUCAGUUCUAUCUGCUGCUUCUUGUGGGCUUUUGGGGCCUAAAAUAGGGCAGGUUGCUUGAAAGGUGUGACAUGCUGCCACCUGUGACACUGGCUGUGUCCUGCAAGAGAUCCCAUCAUCUGCAGCCUCUCUGACUGACCUAUUCCUCAACUGGUUGACUUGUUGCCUGAUUUGUUGCUGAUGGGAAGCAAGAAAAGAUGCCACAUUUACAUAUGAGAUGUUGCUGAGCUAGCAGCUUGUAAGCUGACCACUUGAAGGAAUGGACCCUGUAUCUACUCCUGACCUUGGUGUUAGCUGUGAUUUUGUGUGCCAGUACAUGGCAUGGACAAGGACACUGCAUUUCCUGCUUAACGUCCUUUUUCAGCUCUGCAGCCGUGGUAAGUAACGUCAGAAAAUCCAGGAGCAUGACCAUGAAAGAGACACUGGCCUGAAUUAUAAGCUACUGCAAAGAUGCCUUUAUAUUGCCAUCUGGAAGAUGUUUCUUGAGACAAAACAGCUUCAGUGUAAGCAAAUCAAAAAGCAGUGUUUAGCUUUUGUAAUGCUCUCUUGGCUGCGAACCCAGCGAUGAGCUGCAUUGUUCUUGAGCACGGAGAUGAGUGCCUUCUCUGGCACCAGGUCAGUGACAAUGCCCAGCAUUGAUCAGAGCCCUCAGCAGAGGAAUGACUCCAGCAUGGUGGUUGUUUGGGCUAUGUGGAGGUUGUGUCAAUGACAACAGAGCGCAGCCACAGUUAUCUGAAGGGUCCAUAUUCCUUAAGAUAGGAGAAGUUAAGGAUGGGAAGAGCGAGCUCCUCUAUUCUUCCAACAGUCUUGAAGUGCUCCAAAAUCUGAAUGGACUAAGCAUCCCUUCCAGGAAGGGAAACAGUUGAUUUCCCAUUAGAGAGAUGGUCAUACCAAGGCACUGAGAUUUGUGUCCCUCUUGCGAUGGCGGUAAAGAGGGAUGGUGUAGGAGAAGGAAGGGAAUGGGCAUUUCUCAGCUUGUGCUUUUCUUCCCUUGGCUGUGUCAUCAUCCUUCCCCAUGUGCAUGGAGAUUCCUGAACAAGAGCACCUGGGCUGUGCCAGCUGCCAGCUUCAGGCUGGGCUGCAGUUGUGUGAUAGGUCUUUUGGUUGCUGCUCCUAGACUUCAAAACCACAAGUAGUGAUUUUGCUCCCACAUCAUCUAAUUUGACUCCUUUCUUCUCCAUCAAGCUCAGCAUAACCGAAGCAGAUGUCAUGCACUUGGAGUGGGAUGAGUUCAGCUUGGAGGAGUGGCUGAUGCAGGUUGGGGCUGGUGGAGCAGCUUUUGUUCCCCUACACCCCACGGACACGAGGAUGACUUUGGCUGUGCUGGGGCCAACAUGUGAGCUGUGGGCUCUCUAGGGUUUGCCUACAUAUGCAGAUAUUUGCCAAGCCCUCCUGGUGUGAU
rnacentral:lncRNA from 1 species